GCUGGUGUAGCUCAGUUGGUAGAGCAGCUGAUUUGUAAUCAGCAGGUCGGGGGUGCGAGGCCGUCCACCAGCUCCA
rnacentral:tRNA from 1 species